CAAAGCCGGGUGCAUCUCAUACAUGCGCCAAGAAGACAACAUAUAUAAUAACAGAGUGUAUAGAGAUAAAUGUCAUAAAUCAUCAGAGUAUUUAUUACAUAGCGGAAGACUUAUUACAAAAUAACAUAAUAAAGAUAAAACGAACUAAGGAUCGUCGGCGCCAAUGUCGACUGGGAAACGCCACCUAGAUCAGAUCGAACUCCUCAGUGUUAGGCGGCUCCUCCUGAACCACCUGAUCAUCUCCUGUGGGGGGGUGUGAGACAGCAAGGGUGAGCUCACACAUGAUCAUCGCUCAACAAGUUGUGGGGAAUAAUGUGACAUGAACUCACCAAAGGUGGGAGCUCAUGUGAAGUGUAAGGCUGAUCAGUGAUAGGGGUUAAAGCUGAGCAUUGCUUUUAAGUAGUUGUUCAAAAUUUUAUUAGCAGUUACUAAGUGUAAGUAAAUACCAAACCUUAAGUAAAGUAAUAGAACAAAAUUAAUAAUAAGCCCAUGCAAUGCAAAUGACAAAAUUGAAUUUAAGUUCCAUAAUUUAAACAUCAGAGAGUCCUGAGCUGCUCAUGACCGUGAGCUCGGCUAGUAUACCAGUUUUACACUCUGCAGAGGUUGUACCCUUUACCCACAAGUCAUGUUACCCAUCUGCCAAGGGGUCAUGAAUCCCAUACACCUCUACCUAGGAAGCGCGGCAGGGCAACACUACGAGGCCUUUACAAAGUUCCACUAGCUUCCGAAAACCCGCUACAGUUUAUGGGAAGAUCCAGUACAGGGUUCCUGGCUGACCGCCAUCGCAGCAAAAUCAACCAGGGACCUCCCCGCACUGACCUCUCCCCUACUGCCCUUGCCCCUUUCGGGUAAGGUAGUCUUCCACUAGCUUUCCUAGUUAAUCAGCCAAGGGCGUCCCAUUAAACCCUUGUGGUGGCACGUGGUUCUCAAGUUAAGCUCUAUGUUCCAAUUAACAUUAAUGAUAACAUCAUGAACAUAAACAGAAUAACAACAAGAAUUGGAACAUAGAGGUAAUAAAUGAUUAUCCCAAAACCAUGUAAAGCAAUAGCAAACUACCCAAGUGAUUCAGGGGUGAACAAGGUAAUGAGAUAAACAAUCUAGGGUAACCUAUUGGGUCCCAUCAAAAUUAACCUAUGCAUGGAUAAGUGAUAUUAAAGAACAUUAUUGGGUAAAAAGUGGUCAAGGGCACAACUUGCCUUCAAUGAGCUCCUGCUCAGCUACUUCAACCUGCUGCUCACCAGAAUCCACAGUGGCUUGUUCGUCUACUCGCAUCAACACAAUACAUACAUAGUAUAGCCAAAAUCAACAUCACACCAAACAGAUGAAUAAAAUAUACAGUAAAAAUAUACACAUUAAAAUGAAAUCCUAGGAACUGGAAUCACUAAAUUUGGAGUUAUAGAAUUCAAGUUAUGAAUUUUCAAAGGUUUUAUGUGUUUAAAGUAGGAUUAAAUGUGAAAUAAAUUUCCUUACUGUUUUCAUGACAUAACAGAGGCUCUAGGUGAUAGAGAAUAAAAAUACAAAAUUUUAGGAAGUGGAAUGGCUCAAUUUGGAGUUAGUAUGAAUUUUCUAUGAAUUUAUAAAGUCCUAGCAAUUAUUUUUCUAUUAAAAAUCUAUUUAAUAACCAUUUUCUCUGGUUUUAUUAUGCUCUGGACUAGGCCUCAUUUACCGGAAAGUACAGGGGCCACUGCGCAAUUAGUUCCAAGACUCAGGACACACCCUCUACGGAUUGCGGGUUGAUUUCUAUUAAUCGCAGGGACUCUUUUGUAUAAUGCUCAGGCCGAAGGGGUAUCGUUGUAUCGUAGCCGCACGAUUUGAUCUGGGCGGCCAGGAUUAAAUCACCACGGUACACACGGCCACAUCACUCGGAGCCGUUGGAUUCCGAUCCAAGGCCACGCAUUCGCCAUGACCCUGCCCGCACGAUUAUGAUCCGACGCUCGAUAUCUUACGGCCGCAAUCGGCUAGAGAUCUCCCGAUCGGUGCCGUUGCCUACGAAAUCAACGGCCACCGCACCUUUCUUCCUCCCCAACACACAGACCAUGCGCGGCGGCGCCGCCCAGUUAAUCCUACGGAUGUGAGCACGGCGGCGAACAACGGAUCCGCGAUUUGGCGAGCUAUUCCGAACGCGGUGAUGAGCAAUCGGUAGAGGAGAUUACGACGAACUCAAUGGGGGUAAUCUUACCGGUGGUUGAUCGGUGCAGAGAGCCGACGACGGGGUUUGGCGGCAGUAGCGGCCUCCGUCGAGCAAUUAUGGAGGUCCAGGGGCCCUUCUCGUCCAGCGAUGUGAUGAGCGGCACCAGUGGUGUCAGGCGAAACUCCCUGCACUCCAAUUCGGCCACGGGUGGCGCGGUGGUCUGGGAACAAGCACGGCGGCUACUUUCUUUCGCAAUGGCGCACGGUGGCAAUGAGGAAAGGGAGAGGAAAGGAGGGGGUCGGUUCGCAGAUAUAGAAGGUGAGGAUCACGACGCGCAGAGAUAGCGCUCGGCCGUAGUCAUAUCCCAGGGAUCCGGUCAAGGCACGGAGCAAGAAAUCCGCGGUGGUUGUUGAGCCCGGGUCAGCGAAAAUCGGGCGCGCGCGGAGAUCUCGCCCACGGCCUAUCAUCAGCAGGAUCCGAUUCACGCGGGGACUCAUAGUAUCAGAGGUGAGCGGAGGUCAUCAACCGGCCCAAGUGCCCCCGAAUUUCCCGGCGGCCGGUGAGCUCGCGAGCGAGUCGCGCGGGGGAGAAGGCUCCCAGGUGCAGUCGGGCGGCAGACAGGUUGGCCCACCAGGAAGUCACACAGGAGCGGCAGUGAGCGCGAGGCGGCAACGCUGACUAGUGGACCCCGGAUCGGCAGGCGCAAGCGCGAGGAACAGACAGGUGGGGCCCUAUUGUCGGCGCCGAUGGUGAGUGGUGGACCGCGCGGGUGGAUUGUUCUGCUGGGCCGAAAUGAGUAGAGGCCGGCCCAUAAGGCAUUUUAUCCUUUUUCUUUUCCAUUUCCUUUUCUUUUUCUCCAUUUUCAAACCCAAUUUGAAUUCAAGUUUAAUUCAAACUUUUGUGGAUCUUCAUUUAUAAACUCUAUUUUUUUGCAAUUAGAAAUACUAAGCCUGAAGAUAUUUAUUUAUACAUUUUAUUUAUAUUUUCAUAUCUCUUCUCUUUUCCUUAUUUCUAGGAUUAUUUAGGAUUUAAAUUUUAUUUUUUUGGAAUUUAAUAUAUUUCUUCUUCAAAUUAUUUUAUGUUGACACAAAAUGCACACAAAACAAAAUCCAGCAUGAUGUCAUGGUUUGGUAGCAUAUCUUUUUAUUAAUUGUUUUUGGGCAUGGUGUUCACAUAUGAUGAUGCACAAAGAUCAAACUCACAUAAAGAAAAACUGUUUCUCUAUUGGUAUUAUUCCUAACUAAUUACAAAGUGGGUGUUACAAAUCCUACCCCCCUUAAAAAUAAUCUCGUCCCCGAGAUUUAAGAAGAACUAGAGAAAAUGUGGGGGAAAUCUAUGCGAAGCUCUUCUUCUCUUUCCCACGUUGCUUCAUCUUCUCCGUGGUGACUCCAUUGCACUUUACACAUCUUUAUAACCUUAUUCCUUGUAACUCGAGUCAAAGUAUCCAAAAUCUUGAUGGGGUACUCCGUGUAAGUCAAAUCACCUUGAACACUGAGCUCUUCCAUGGGUAACUGUUCCUCAGGCACACGGAGACAUUUCUUAAGUUGGGACACGUGGAACACAUUAUGCACAUCUGAUAGACUAGCAGGUAACUCGAGUUGGUAUGCCAUCUCCCCAACUCUUCGAAAGAUCAGGAAUGGUCCAAUAUAGCGAGGGGACAAUUUGCCCUUAACUUUGAAUCUCCUCAUUCCACGAAGUGGUGACACCUUGAGAUACACAUAAUCUCCUUCUUCGAAUUCCAGUGGCCUCCUUCUAUUAUCAGCAUAGCUCUUUUGCCUGGUUUGAGCCACUCUCAAAUUCUCUCGAAUUAUACGAACUUGUUCUUCUGCUUCUUGAAUCAGUUCAGGCCCAAAGAACUGUCUCUCUCCAGUCUGAUCCCAAUACAAAGGAGUUCUGCACUGCCUCCCAUAUAAAGCUUCAAAAGGUGACAUCUUCAGACUGGCCUGGUAACUAUUAUUAUAUGAGAACUCAGUAUACGAUAGACUUUUAUCCCAACUUCCUCCAUGUUGAAGGGCACAAGCUCUCAACAUAUCUUCCAAAACCUGAUUAGUCCUUUCCGUCUGUCCAUCAGUCUAAGGGUGGUAAGUCGUACUAAAAUUCAACUUCGUACUCAUAUUCUCAUGAAAGCUUCUCCAAAAACUUGAGGUAAACUGCGAACCUCGAUCAGACACGAUCUUCUUUGGUACUCCAUGUAAACACACAAUCCGAGCCAUAUAUAACUCUGCUAGCUGAGAACCUUUAUAAGUAGUCCUCACAGAAAUAAAGUGAGCCACUUUAGUCAAUCUAUCCACAAUCACCCAUAUUGCAUCAUAUCCUUUCUGGGUGCGAGGCAAUCCAGUAAUAAAAUCCAUACCAAUCUCUUCCCACUUCCACUCGGGUAUCUUAAGUGGGUAUAGUAGUCCAGCUGGUCUCUGGUGUUCAGCCUUAACUCUUUGACACGCAUUGCACAUAGCCACAUGUGUAGCCACAUCUCUCUUCAAUCCAUAUCACAAGUAUUUCUGCUUCAAAUCCUAAUACAUCUUGGUACUACCAGGAUGAAUAGAAUAAUCCAAGUCAUGGGCUUCCUUUAGAAUAGUCUCAUGAAGGCUUUCAAUCUCAGGAACACAUAUCCUAUCCUUGAACCAUACGGUGCCUUGCUCAUCUUCCGUGAAUUCCGGACCUCGACCCACAGUAAUCAGAUCCUUAAUCACCAAUCUGUCCUUCUGCGGGUUUCUUGCUCCAAGGUAGGUUCCACAUCAAUAAUAACUCCUUUAGUGUGAGCAACUAUCCCCAGGUUAAGUCUCCUGAAAUCCUCAACAAUCUCAUCGGGUAGCUGGGCAACAACAGCUGAAUGGACAUGCUCCUUUCGACUCAAGGCAUCUACAACCAAAUUUGCCUUGCCCGGGUGAUAGUGAAUCUCCAAAUUACAAUCCUUAAUAAGCUCUAUCCAACGGCGUUGCCUAAGGUUGAGAUCCUUCUGAGUGAAUAUAUACUUCAAACUCUUAUGAUCCGUGUAUACUUGGCACUUAGUCCCCAUAAUGUAGUGUCUCCAAAUCUUAAGUGCAUGCACAACUGCUGCUAGUUCCAAGUCAUGAGUGGGGUAGUUCAGUUCAUGCUUCCGCAACUGACGAGAUGCAUAGGCAAUCACAUGUCCUUCUUGCAUAAGCACACAUCCAAGUCCUUGGCCACAUGCAUCACAAUAAAUGUCAAAUCCCUUCUGCAGAUCUGGCAUAAUCAAUACUGGUGGCGACAUCAACCUCUUCUUCAAUAGAUCAAAGCUGUCUUGACACUUCUCGUCCCACUUAAAUUCUUUUCCUUUCUCCAAAAGCGAGGUCAUAGGCUUAGCAAUCUUAGAAAAUCCUUCAAUAAAUCUCCGAUAAUAUCCUGCUAAUCCCAAGAAACUCCGAAUCUCAGUAACUGUAGUGGGUACUCUCCACUCCAUUAUCUCCUUAACUUUAGCAGGAUCCACUGAAAUUCCUCCAUUAGAAAUAAUAUGACCAAGAAAUGGCACCUCGCCAAUCCAAAACUCGCACUUGCUGAACUUGGCAUAGAGUUGAUUAUCUCGUAGCUUCUGUAGCACCAUCCUUAGAUGUUCCUCGUGAUCACUAUCACUCUGAGAAUAAAUAAGAAUAUCGUCGAUGAAUACCACGACGAAUCUGUCCAAAUACUCCAUAAACACCUUGUUCAUUAAGUUCAUAAAAUAGGCUGGUGCGUUAGUCAAUCCAAACGACAUAACUGUGAACUCAUAUAAUCCAUAUCUAGUCGAGAAAGCCGUCUUGGGAAUAUCCGAUGGUCUAAUCCUCAUCUGAUGAUAACCGGAUCGGAGAUCAAUCUUCGAGAAUACCCUAGCUCCUCUCAUCUGAUCAAAUAAAUCCUCAAUACGGGGCAACGGGUACUUGUUCUUCACAGUGACAUCAUUAAGAGUCCUAUAAUCCACACACAUCCGCUGUUAUCCAACCUUCUUCUGUACAAACAGAACUGGUGCUCCCCAAGGUGAGGAACUCGAACGAAUGUACCCAGCCUCUUGUAAUUCCAUUAACUGUUUCUUCAGUCCCUUUAACUCUUCUACAGACAUCAUGUAUGGUCGUUUAGAAAUAGGGGCAGUCUUAGGUAAGGGAUUAAUGACAAACUCAACUUCCAUAUCUGGUGGCAUCCCUAAUAACUCCUUUGGAAAGACAUCCGGAAAAUCCUUAACCACACGGAUGUUGUCACCAACAAACUUCCCAUCGACUAAGAAUGCCGCUAGUUUGGUGGCGGUAGUUACUGCAAUUCCAACUUCAAAUCUUUCUCCUUUGGAACUGGUGAGUUCUAUGGUUCCUUUAGCACAGUGUAUAUACUGCCUUUACCUUUCUUAACCACGGCAUACCAAGGAUCACAUCUAUAGUGUUCUCUUCUAACACUAUAGGGGUAGCUCAUCUGGGUUAGAAACAUAGGGUACGAAAGAAAGGAUUGUAGACAAGGCAGUGAUUACGAAGCAUGUUACUUUGGGGGAUUUAUUAGCUAAGUGUGUCACCUACUAAAGCUAAUUCAUUACCUUAUGGUGGUACAUGCUAAGAUGCCCGUCUAUACUAUUUCAAUCAAUCAAAGAAGCAAAUCAGGCAUUGAUCAUCAGCACAAUCAACCAACAUUUUUUUUAAAUAGAGAAAAUAGUUUUAAUUUUGUCUUAGGCUUCCCUAACUCUUAAGAAUGUCAUAGGGGUAGGGAUUCCAAGGUGUGAAAUCCGUCUUGUCUUGGAGUAGAAAAAGUAAGAAUGAUCAGAGUGGAACAGUAGAAGAUGAGACUGGAUCAAGAUAAGUAUAGAAAGAAUCAGAGUAAGGUAAGUGUAGAAUGAAUCAGAAUAAGAUAAGUAGGUAAGGGUUGUCCAUUUCUAUCUAGGUUUCGUCCUACAGUCAACAUUUCCUCUGAUACCACUUCUGUAACACCCGGUUUUAAAGGACAAAGCCGGGUGCAUCUCAUACAUGCGCCAAGAAGACAACAUAUAUAAUAACAGAGUGUAUAGAGAUAAAUGUCAUAAAUCAUCAGAGUAUUUAUUACAUAGCGGAAGACUUAUUACAAAAUAACAUAAUAAAGAUAAAACGAACUAAGGAUCGUCGGCGCCAAUGUCGACUGGGAAACGCCACCUAGAUCAGAUCGAACUCCUCAGUGUUAGGCGGCUCCUCCUGAACCACCUGAUCAUCUCCUGUGGGGGGUGUGAGACAGCAAGGGUGAGCUCACACAUGAUCAUCGCUCAACAAGUUGUGGGGAAUAAUGUGACAUGAACUCACCAAAGGUGGGAGCUCAUGUGAAGUGUAAGGCUGAUCAGUGAUAGGGGUUAAAGCUGAGCAUUGCUUUUAAGUAGUUGGUCAAAAUUUUAUUAGCAGUUACUAAGUGUAAGUAAAUACCAAACCUUAAGUAAAGUAAUAGAACAAAAUUAAUAAUAAGCCCAUGCAAUGCAAAUGACAAAAUUGAAUUUAAGUUCCAUAAUUUAAACAUCAGAGAGUCCUGAGCUGCUCAUGACCGUGAGCUCGGCUAGUAUACCAGUUUUACACUCUGCAGAGGUUGUACCCUUUACCCACAAGUCAUGUUACCCAUCUGCCAAGGGGUCAUGAAUCCCAUACACCUCUACCUAGGAAGCGCGGCAGGGCAACACUACGAGGCCUUUACAAAGUUCCACUAGCUUCCGAAAACCCGCUACAGUUUAUGGGAAGAUCCAGUACAGGGUUCCUGGCUGACCGCCAUCGCAGCAAAAUCAACCAGGGACCUCCCCGCAC
rnacentral:lncRNA from 1 species